UGCAAGGCAGGCGAAGAUUUAUUGGACCGCAGUUACUUUUAUCUGGGAUUUAAUUUCUUGCAUAAAGUAUGUAACCAAGAUGGUUUGUGUCUGUGUAUGCUUAAACAUGACUAAUAUUAUAUAAACCUAAUUUGAAAGAGAUUUCUUUGAUGUUGCAGUUCAAGUGAUUUUUGGCAGUGUAGCUGAUCCAGAGGAACCUUGAGAAGAUCCUACAGUAAGAGUGCCACCACCAGUGUCCAAAACAUUACAAAGGGACCCCAAUCCCCCUGCAGCAAACGGGAGAAAAGAGCCUUGCUGAAGGACACACUGGUAGUGAUGACUGCGGAGAUCUAACCAGCAACCUUCUGCUGACCAGUUCAGUGGUUUUGCCCACUACACCACAAAAGUAGUAGUGCUCAUGGAGAGCAGGCACACAAAUGUUUGGAGCAGACACAGAGACUAUCAGAUUCCCCCGCACAUGUUCAUGAUUGUGUGGUUCAGGGGCAUCAUCAUGGUCUUCCUCAUACUCUCUGUGCACUCAGACAAGGACAGCCUCGAUGUCCCUUUCUCAUCCAUGAUCAGUUUCAGUCUGACUGCAGCAAUGAUGGUCGUGAUUGACGGCAGAGGCAGGUGAAGGUGGGCACGGUGGUUACCUGCUUCAUCAGAAUAAAGCUGCAGAAUUGGCACAGCUUUGUUGAGAUGCAGUAGGACAUGGCUUCACUGCCUGCAAUUGUAAUUGUUAGAAAAGUUUGAGUAAAACCUUGUUUUUUAUGUGUCGAUGAUUUGUAUUUAUUUAUUUUCAUGGUUACUUUUAUUUAAUCUUUUAUUCAUCUAUCUAUCUAUCUAUCUAUCUAUCUAUCUAUCUAUCUAUCUAUCUAUCUA